GAGAGGCGUGUCGAGGGCGCGCGGCGGAGGAGAAGCGCGGGAGGCGCGUGCUCGAUCCUCUCAUCAUCAUGAUCUCACUCAGGAGUUUCUGAGGAAAGAGUCUGUCAACAGUUUGCUGUACUUUCCUUUUUCCAGUUAAAUAUAUAAAAUUAACGGCUUGCGACUAAACUUUCUCACAUAUUUGCAGCUAUUAAAAGGAUGAAGUUCUUAGAAAUUAUUUGCUCUAAUGUAAUUGUCCUCAUUCAUCACUGCAUGGAGCAAGUGGAGGGCCGACCCCUGUUUACAAAUGAAGACUCAUACUUUGAGUAUGUACCAGAUCGGCAACAAUGGUCUGCCGCUCAAAUGCUCUGCCAUCAGCGUUCAGGCACCCUGGCAGUGGCAUCUAGUGCUGAAGAGAUCCAAAACCUGAACAGUUUUCUCCAGUCCCUGAAUAUCACGCAGGCUGUAUGGAUAGAAAGUGCAGGGAUUUCCCAGAUAAGUGGCCCACCAGAUAUGUUAAUAUUGGAAUUUCCAGUCCGUCCACACCGAAAAUCGGCUCGACUCCUCUACAAGUUCCCUAAUAUGGAAGUGCUCACUAUUUGCGCUCAUAUCCAAUUUAAUCCCACUUGCCACGGACAUUCGACUGUUUUUUCAUAUUCCAUAGAGUCGUUUAUUGAUGAGUUUCAACUCCAAGCUAGAAUUAUGGAGAAUGAGCCCAUCCAACUUGCUAUGCUGGUUCAUGGUUCGAACACUUCUUACGUAACAGCUUUUCCCAAUGAUGCUUCCUGGCACUUUGUAUGUGCGAGCUGGAUCGGGAGUAGUGGGAAGUGGGCCAUCUGGGUGGAUGGAACAAAGGUGGGAUCUGGAAGCGACCUCAAAUCAUCAGACCAUAUUGGGGGUGAUGGUGUUUUCAUCAUCGGACAAGAGCAGAAAACAUUUGGACGUUACAAAAGCGACAAGGCACUUUGUGGGAACAUCACGCAGUUGUACAUGUGGGAUAAGGUGCUGCUCGAUAGUGAUAUUCAAAGCAUGGAAAAAGAUUGUUCACCCGUUACUUCUGGAUUGUUCUUCAAAUGGAAUGAAUCUGUGGUUGAAAUAGAGACCUCCCUGCAGACACGAAUGGGGAACUCGCUUUGUCAAGGUAAAGGAAACAAGAGUUCCUCACCUGACCAACCUGUCAUGCCGUGGUUGGAUACAGGUUUGCAUCAUAAUUUGUCUAAAGAGGUCCUCAUUUCUAACAAAGAGUUUUGUGUAAGCUUUGAUCCUGGAAGUGGAAACUGGAUCAAAGACUUUUGUACAUCACAUAAGGGAAGCGUGUGCCUGUUUCAAAAAGACCAGCUGGACUCCUUUGGUUUUCCUGGGACUCGGUUCUUUACACAAGUCAGCAAUGAGUUACAUUCCAAGACUGAUGCUGACGAUAAAAAUUUAACUUUCUUCCCUGCAAAUGAACUUACUCGUCACAGCUCUCUCCUAAAGACCAUUUUGAGAGUUAUUAACAGCAAUGCCGACAUCAUCACACAUUCUGAUCUUCUGUAUCUCAUUCACACCAUUGAGAAGACAUCAACGGUUCAACACAAUAAAACUACUGUUUCUUCCAAUGCCUUCAUGUCUGUGGUCAGAAAUUGCUUAGAAUUAGCCAGCAGACUCAUUGACUCUGAUAUGGCCAAACAGUGGAAAGAUUUGGGAGCACUUGAGAUUUACAGUGGACCAUUGAGCAUCAUUGAGAGCGUAGACAAGCUGCUCUGGACACUGUCGGAUGUGCUAUGGGCAGAACGCAAAAGCUUUACAUUGUCAACAAAGAACAUGGAUAUUCAUCUGGAGGCCCGGACGUUGUCACAGAUGAGCUGUGGUUAUGUGUACAAGCCCUCAGUACAUGGCAGUCAGUUCAGCAGCCAUGAUGAAAUCCUCAUCCCAGAGUCAGAAGUGCAGAGAAUCUUCUCUUUGGGCCACGAUGAGGUGAUGUUUAUUCACACUUACUACAGUCACUUGUUGGACAUGUCCAAACUGGAGGCAAAGACCCCUGGCCACCCAAAGACAGACAGUAAGAGUGAUCACAUUGGUCAGCUGGCCACGGCAGUGAUAUCAGCAACAGUGCGAGAUGUGUCCAGGGAAAAGAAUGUUCCAGUUUCUGUCCAAUACACCCUGUCACCCGGGGCUAUGGCAGAGUUUUCCAAUCAAGUCACGCCUCUUUGUGUCUUUUGGAGUGUUACUUUCAUGGCUGGUCAUACCAGUGACUGGUCAAAUGAAGGAUGCAGAGUGUUGCCCGCUGCUCCUGAUGUCACUUCCUGUUUUUGCAACCACACUACUAACUUUGCUGUCCUCAUGAACUAUAUGGAACCCAGGUGGACCUCUGAAGAGGAAAGCAUUUUGAUGAAGUUGACGUUUAUCGGAUCCGGAGCUUCUCUCUGUGCACUGGUGGUGACCUUGAUGCUGUUUACUGUGUUGGAUAUCCCAAAAUCAGAUCGUACAUCAGUCCACAAGAAUCUUUUUGUUUCAUUGAUCUGUGCCCAGAUUGUCCUUCUUUGCAGUGGUUCGGCAAUUCAUAAUAAGGUUGCCUGCAUGCUUGUGGCAGCUCUGAUGCAUUUGUUCUUCAUGGCAGCGUUCAGCUGGAUGCUGGUCGAGGGCCUGCUGCUGUGGAGUAAAGUAGUGAGCGUUAAUUUGAGCGAGCACCGCCACAUGAAAUACUACUAUCUGAUUGGCUGGGGUCUACCUGUGUUGAUAGUCACCAUCACACUAGCCUCUGCCUCUGGGAAAUACACUGCGGAUGGUCACUGUUGGCUCAGUGUCCAGAACGGAGUCAUAUGGGGUUUCGCCGGCCCGGUCAUCUUCAUAAUUAUGGUGAACGUCAUGAUUCUUACUCGUGUGGUGGUCAUCACCAUCGUCACAGCCAAGAGAAGAUCUCUGAUGAUGACUUUGAAUAGCAGCCCAGAAGAACAAGUCUCUGAGCAAAUAAAGGCCGCGGUUAAAGCAGUGCUGGUUCUGUUGCCGAUUCUGGGCCUGACCUGGCUCUGUGGAGUCCUGGUACCAUUUUCUGUGGUUAUAGCUUAUGUCUUCAGCCUCCUAAACUCGUUACAGGGUCUCUUCAUCUUCCUGAUAUAUGGCGUGUACAACACUGAGGUUCGAAACACAGUCAACAGAAUCAAAGAAAGAAGAAAAGCCUUAAAUUUCUCUAACUGCGCCAGCUCCAGGCCUUCCAGUUCAGUGAGCAGUUCUCGACUGGGCAGCUCUCCUGUAGCAGAGGUUGCGGACGGGCACGCGGUGAACACCAGCCAUUCCAGCAGCUCAUCCACCCACAGCGACAGUGGCAUUCAGAGUUACAGCAAAACCAGACAUCUGUCUCUCCUCUGUGUCCAUGACAACCUGAAUGAAGACACCCAUUGUCCUGAUAUGGGUGUCCAGCUGUCUGGACAGGAGUAUUUAGCGAAACCUAAACACAGCGUCCCGAAUGAAUGCAAUCUUAAUGUACCCAUGGAAGCAGAGCUGACAUCCUGCCAUUCACUCAGUUCACCUCCCCAACAAAAUGGCACCAUGUGUCUGCACUGAAACACUUCUCAUCAUGUGGUUUGGUACUCUGCGAUUUUCAUCUUAAUUAAGCUCACCUUGAAUCCUGACUAGACCUGUGGAUCUGCUGCAUAGAUGAAAAUAAAGUGACACCCCUUGGCAUAAUAGUCAUUUAUUACAACGAUGGAAAGAUUUCAAGAGCUCAUAUGAAAACUCUUUAUGGCAAGAGGUGACAUCAGAGAUUGCGAGUCUGACUGCGGCUUCCAGAGCACAAAAUAACAGAAUCCAAAUCCAAACAAUGAAGCAGCUGAGCUCCUCUCCGCACAGCAGGGACAGAGCGGCAAGCAGAUCCUGAAUGAUAAUCAGAAACGGACUGAACAUGGAAGAGCUGCACGUUUCUCCAUCCCUGGUGCCCAGACCCUCGGACCCCAGUGCCAGACGAGGGCGGUGGGGGUUGGAGAGGCGUGAGUGAGCGGGGGCCCCUGGAGGUCCCCCAGGCUACCGGGCCGAACCCUGAGCGGGACCCCCGUGGCUCUCUCCUCCCCUUUCAGGUGCACUUAAUAUCUGCAGCACCAGCAAAUCUGUCUUGCAGGCAAGUCCUUAGCUGCCACUCACUGUAAGCAGGCCAUAUUAAAUUUUUAUAUUUAUUGACAAUUCAUUACCAUAAUUGACUGCGCCAGGGUUUCUGGAGGAAGGUAGACGAUGGGCCUCCUAAGUGCGAGGAGAACUCCCUCCGCUGGAUUUGCAAUUAAAAGCGCGAGCGGAUUGGAAUUUAUUUAUUGGGUAAAUAUGAUGAGUUGAAUUUUUUUAAAUCCUGCAUUUCUCAACGGCUGCGUUCGUGGAUCUGCUCGAAGCUACUGCACUGAAGUUGUCAAUUAACUAGGAUUAACAAUCUGGGUUUCCCAAAAGCAUCGUAAGGCUAAGUAGAUCGUAAAAACAAUCGUACGAAUCAUCUUAGAAUAACGGGCCGUUUCCCAAAAGCUUCGUAACUUAAGUAGCACUUGAAAAUCAUCGUAGGUCUACGAGUGCUCUGGAGUAAUCGUUAAUUUAUAAGUGCGUCGUAAGUUACAAGGUCACCUGCAGGACAAACAGCAAAUUGCACUUCUGCAAUGACAAUAAUGUAAUGUUUUAAAUGUAUAUUUAUUUAUUGGGUUCUUCUUUGUUUAUUUGUUUAAAUUACUUUAAUAUAAAUUCAAAUGAGAAAUCAAAUAUAAAUGACUAAACACAAAUUAAUAAAGAUGGAAUACGUACAGUAUUUGGUACAAUUUUGGUAAAAGUUGGUACUAGCAAAUUAAAUGGCUUCUACCAAUUGCUGCUACAAUUCAUCCACAGUAAAAAAAAAUAGUUUAGAAGGGAAAUCUGCAUCUGAUUAAAGAAACCAAAUAAAUAUUUAUGGUACAAUGCAAUAAUCCAUAAUAAUAAAUAAACAUAGAUAAUAAAUAAUAAUAAUAAUCUAAACUAUAAUAUAAAAUGCAGACGGCAUUUUGCAGUGGGACAAGUCCUAACUAUAUACGGAAAAUAAUAUUUAAUUAUGCACAAAUUAUUAAAACAUUUAAAAGUCAUUGAACAAUAAUGAAAAAUAUUUAAAAAAAAUAUUAGUGUACAUCGGCUAAAGAUCAUUAGCCUAAACAAGCUUCUGCUAAAAAUUUGAGUCAUUCUAUUGGUGACAUUUCAGCAAUCGACAAAUGGAUAGCGACUCGUAAGUAGCACUUAAAACCCAGCUGCGAGCGAUCGUUUUACGUGCAUCUUUGGGAAACGCACGUAAAUGAACAACGAAUGUUCGUUAAGUAGCUCGUAGAAAGCCCUCUUAAGUUCAAUCGUUAUUGGCAAACCCCGCCCUUUAAAGAAAAUUAAUACUAUUAAAAACUGGAAAAUGAUAAAUAAUGUGACCCUGGACCACAAAACCAGUCUUGAUAAAUUUGUAGCAAGAACAAAAAAUACAUUGUAUGGAUCAAAACUAUUGAUUUUUUUAUGGCAAAAAUAUAAGGUUCGAUAAAGAUCAUGUUCCAUGAAGAUAUUUUGUAAAUCCUCCCAUAAAUAUAUCAAAUUUUAUUUAUCAUUAGUAAUAUGGACUUCAUUUGGACAACUUUAUACGUGAUUUUCUCAACAUUUAGAUUUUUUGCACCCUCAAAUCCAGAUUUUCAAAUUGUUGUAUCUCGACUAAAUAUUGUCCUAUCCUUAAAAGCCAUACAUCAACGGAAAGCUUCAUUAAAAAAAAAGUACCCUUAUGACCAGGGUCACAAAUAUAGUAUCAAUAUAAAUAUAUAUUUUUAAACAUCAGUUAUUGAAAAUGUUUACAUUUGUUAAUGUUUUACUGGGAAAAAAGAUUAAAGUUACAAAGAUUCAAGUGAAUUUUAAUAGUAUAAGUCAGCAAACAGCCUGUAGUGACAAAUUGUAAUUCAAUCUGACACUCCAGGGAUCAGUGUUAGCUUGAUCUUAACAAAAGACUGGAGCUUUGUGUGAAUCUGAUUAUGAUUAUUCAGAUUCAUCUGAAAGACAGACAGGCAGGCAAAGUGAAGGGGAACAUGCGGCUCUGUGACAUAUUGAACAGUCGCCCAUGCAGUGUCAUGUAUCGCAACAUUUCUCCACUGAUCCUAUACUGUGCAUUGCUGCCGUUUCAACUGUGGGAAGACACAAUGACAUGUGCUCUCAAAUAAAAUAGAAACUGUAAAAUGAACCGUUAAGCAAGUAACAAACUAAAAGUGACGCAAUAAACCUAACUGCAAUUUUAAGAAGCAUUAAUAGUUAACUAAUAGUGUUACAUUCAUUCUAUUAUUGCAUUUAGUGUUAAUGUAUACACUGUAAAAAAAAUCUGUAGAAAUUACAGUAUUAAUGGGUAUUACUGGCAACUAGCUGCCAGUAACUUACUGUAGAUUUUACAUUUAUGUUAUUUACUUGCAACAGUUUGUUUAAAGUUAAAUGAACAUUACACAUUUCCAGUCUUUAUCUUCUACAGUAAGUUACUGGCAACCAGCUGCAUAAUUACAGCAAAUUUUUUACAGUGUAUGUUUAAGUUCAACAACAAAUUAAAUUCAUUUAAAAAUUGCCUAAUUUUGUGCCUGGAAAUAAAUAAUCGAUAAAUAAUAUAAUAAUAUAGUUAUAUAUUCAACAAUAGGCUAUUUUUGUUAGUACCUAACUACUUUUUAGAUACUUUAAAUGUAUGCAUUUGGCAGAUGCUUUUAUCCAAAGCGACUUACAGUUUAUCUGAAUGUGUGUUCCCUCAGAAUCAAACCCAUGACCUUUUGCGGUGCAACCACUUGAGCUAACCACUUGAGUAGUUUACACAUUAAAAAAUGCUGUGUUGGGUAAAAAAUUUACAAACCCAGCCAUUGAGUUACACUGUAAAAAGUAAAAGUUGGAUCAACUUAAAAAAAUUACUUAAUUUAGUAGUUAUUUUUAAAAGUUUUUUUUUCCCUUAAAAGAAAACACCACCGUUUUUCAAUAUUUUCUAUGUUCUUACCUAACGAAUUAA